rnacentral:rRNA from 1 species
CUUUACUGUAGCCUGGUAUUGGGUUCGGGCUUUGACUGCGCAGGAUAGGUGGGAGACUGAGAAGUGUGCCUUAUGGGGCACAUGGAGUCAACGGUGAGAUACCACUCUGUCAGAGCUAGAAUUCUAACCUUCACCCGUAAUCCGGGGAAGGAACCGUAUCAGGUGGGCAGUUUGACUGGGGCGGUCGCCUCCUAAAAGGUAACGGAGGCGCGCAAAGGUGUUCUCAGGCCGGUUGGAAAUCAGCCGUAGAGUGUAAAGGCAGAAGAACGCUUGACUGUGAGAGGGACAACUCAAGCAGGGUGGAAACACGGCCUUAGUGAUCCGACGGUAUGCGCGUGGAAGUGCCGUCGCUCAACGGAUAAAAGUUA